rnacentral:rRNA from 1 species
CGGCAACAGCUCAAAUUUGAAAUCUGGCCCUAGGCCCGAGUUGGAAUUUGUAGAGGAUGCUUUUGGCGAAGUGCCUUCCGAGUUCCCUGGAACGGGACGCCAUAGAGGGUGAGAGCCCCGUCUGGUCGCGCGCCUAGCCUCUGUAAAGCUCCUUCGAC